rnacentral:rRNA from 1 species
UACGUAGGGUGCGAGCGUUGUCCGGAAUUACUGGGCGUAAAGAGCUCGUAGGUGGUUUGUCGCGUUGUCCGUGAAAACUCACAACUCAAUUGUGGGCGUGCGGGCGAUACGGGCAGACUUGAGUACUGCAGGGGAGACUGGAAUUCCUGGUGUAGCGGUGGAAUGCGCAGAUAUCAGGAGGAACACCGGUGGCGAAGGCGGGUCUCUGGGCAGUAACUGACGCUGAGACGCGAAAGCGUGGGGAGCAAACAGG